UGCCCCCAGGCUUCGUCCCACGUCCACAGGCGACGAUAGAGCCCACGGGCCGUUGGGGCGACCGAGAGGAGACGUUCCCGACGAGGCCCCCCGAAAACGAAAUCUGAGCGCGGACGGAGGUGGGAUCCAGUGUCUGCUGACUCAGGGCACGUGAGCACUUGCAACUGAAGGGAUUUAACCAAGGAGCAGACUGCAGAACUGACUAAACACACAGAAACGUUGCAGCACUGUGGGAAGCGUCUCAGAAACCCAAUUAAAUUCCAGUCAUACUUCCAUAAGGGCAAAGAUAAUGAUUCCAGCUCGACGUCACAGAACUUUCAAAGGGGCGCGUGCAAACAAGGGAGCUCCGUCCCUCGGACCACCGCGAAACGAGACGAAAUUUGAACGGCGCGGACUUCAAACGUUUCCGGUCUGAGGGAUGGAGAGGGGCCGGUCUGACGCAAGCAGCAAUGCAUCGCCAUUUUUAUCUUUAUGUUCGUAAACAACUGUGUUCUUUUCACAGCCAAAAGGGCACAGAUGUCGCUUUCCAAUAGCGAGGAUACGUUAUUAGCAAUAAAGCAAAUCCUAAUGAAACCAUCUUUCACAAUACAUGUCACAAUUACAAUUACAGACUUAUUGUAUAAAAAUGAAAAAAAGCAAUCUGAGCUUCCACUGGUGCUUCAAACUGGGUGAAAAAAGUGGGGUUUUUUUCUUUUGUUACGGGCUAUGGAUCUUGUACUUUUAUGGUUUUAUUGUGAUAAAAAAAAAAUAGGACUGCUUUCAAUAAGAAGUGGGUUGGUCUAUUGGACGAGCACCUGCAAACAAGUGACACCUUUUGUUCCCGGACUUUUAGCAAAACCAGAGAGUUGAGUUUGAGAAACACUCACCUCAGGGAAUAAGCGAUAGCCAUCGAACCAUUACAACUGCUCCAGAUGGGUCGAUUUACAGAGACUGUACAACACACCUUGUGAUUGAAAUUCUAGCAUAAUCCGUCACAAUGAGACAGCUCCAUUCACACUCGGGCCGGAACUCUCUCUGUCCCCAAUGGCUUGGUGUUUACCUCUAGGGUUCGGGGUGGUCAUUUUCGCAGAUGUAAAAAUGGGAGCUUGCGCUGCAUUUAGAACGUUUGCGCGGUCGAAUUCAGCGGGGAACGGAACAGAAUAUUGGCAACCGUCGAGCGCUUCGCGAGCGUUCGUCGUGUUUGCCGGGCUGUCGAACGACCGACCCGCUCUUUUGCCGGGGCAUAAUUUAUUAGCAUUUUGUCACGCCCUGGUGAAAAGGUAGGCUGAUGUAACCUUGCCUGAACCUUCGGGAGCUGAGGGAGAAAAGAAAAAAAGAAAAGAAAAAAAAAAAACGUGAUUUACCGCCAGCCCUCGCUAUUUUACCUCGGUCCGGCGUUUAUUCCUUGUCGGCGGGUGAAUGGAAUGAGCGAUGACAAUGCCAGUGAAUGGGAGACCUGGUCCGUUGGAAGUGAAAGGCACCGCAGCAGGUCCAGGGGACGACAAUAACCAGGUUCUCCCUCUCCUGGUCUUCACA